rnacentral:rRNA from 1 species
CAGUCGCCACGGUAAUACGAAGGGUGCAAGCGUUACUCGGAAUUACUGGGCGUAAAGCGUGUGUAGGUGGUUGUUUAAGUCUGUCGUGAAAGCCCUGGGCUCAACCUGGGAAUUGCGAUGGAUACUGGGCGACUAGAGUGCGGUAGAGGAUAGUGGAAUUUCCGGUGUAGCAGUGAAAUGCGUAGAGAUCGGAAGGAACAUCUGUGGCGAAGGCGACUAUCUGGGCCAACACUGACACUGAGACACGAAAGCGUGGGGAGCAAACAGGAUUAGAUACCCGCGUAGUCCCUGUCUCUUAUAC